UACGGGGGGAGCAAGCGUUGUUCGGAUUUACUGGGCGUAAAGGGCGCGUAGGCGGUCAGCACAAGUCAGUUGUGAAAUCUCCGGGCUUAACUCGGAACGGUCAACUGAUACUGUGCGACUAGAGUGCAGAAGGGGCAACUGGAAUUCUCGGUGUAGCGGUGAAAUGCGUAGAUAUCGAGAGGAACACCAGUGGCGAAGGCGAGUCCCUGGACAACACCUGACACUGAGGCACGAAAGCUAGGGGAGCAAACAGG
rnacentral:rRNA from 1 species